UUAACUUUAAACUUAGUGUUACCUUAUUUAGCUUAAUUUAAUUUUGUCUUGUUUUUAGAUAUAACUUGACCAUUGAUGCAAAAAGCAAGUUGUCCCCAAAUCAGAUCUCUGCAAAUAUGAGUCUGUGCACUGCUUAUCUGCACAAAGUAAAGCAACUUUCAAACAAGCCAAAUCAACAUUCUUGCUUUAUUUUCAAACCUGAAGCACUUCCAUGUCUGUUCUACUUGAUAUAUGCAUGAAAUUGCAUAACUGUUUGACAAUGAUUCAGAGAGUUUUGGAGACAUCAGGAAGAAAACGUGAGACAGUCUGUUGGAACAAGAAUCACAUUCCCUCGUAGAGGGCCAGAAAGCUCCAGAUGAACAAUCCAGUGAGGAGUGAAUGCAUGUUUAGAGAGGUCAGACUUUGCGUAAUAGCCCAAAAGGUGACUAACCUCAGAAACUAUGUUUGUAACCAUCGUAUUACAAAAACAAGGAAUACCGACACAGGUGUUAGUGCCUCCUACUUUUGAAAGUCAUGACCACUCCUGGAUCUGGUAUAGCCAUCCUUUGAUCAGGGGACAAGAAAUCUAAGGAAGGGAAAUCAACAUAAUGAAUAUGGUACAGCAAUAAUGUGAGAACCCCCAGCUUGAUGAUGUCUUUGAGCUCUUGGACUAUCUUUGAAACUGUCUUCCUCUGGACUUUUACUAUGUAAAAUUAAAA
rnacentral:lncRNA from 1 species